rnacentral:rRNA from 1 species
AGUUUCAUAACUACCGUAUCCCACACAAAUCUUUUACCUAUAACAAUUCACCCUUAUGGAAAAUCAAUUACACCAGAGUGUCUUCAAGGACGAAUCCACUUUGAAUUUGAUUGUAUUGCUUCUGAAGUAUGUAUUCGUGUAUGUCCAAUAGAUCUACCCCUUAUGGAUUGGAGAUUUGAAAAAGAUAUUAAAAUAAAAAAUUGUUUAAUUAUAGUAUUGAUUUUGGAGUUUGUAUAUUUUAUGGCAGUAGUGUUGAGUACUGUGGAGUUAAGCCCAAUGAAUUUGCAUGCAUUGCUUCAUAGAACGGGCAUUUUGCUUCUUUCUAGCCACCAUAUAGCGAGUGUGGCGUUUCGGUGCCCAGGCUCAUUUGUAUCUGGUCAGAAAAAAACAUAA